rnacentral:rRNA from 1 species
AGUGAACGCUGGCGGUAGGCCUAACACAUGCAAGUCGAACGGCAGCACAGUAAGAGCUUGCUCUUACGGGUGGCGAGUGGCGGACGGGUGAGGAAUACAUCGGAAUCUACUUUUUCGUGGGGGAUUACGUAGGGAAACUUACGCUAAUACCGCAUACGACCUACGGGUGAAAGCAGGGGAUCUUCGGACCUUGCGCGAUUGAAUGAGCCGAUGUCGGAUUAGCUAGUUGGCGGGGUAAAGGCCCACCAAGGCGACGAUCCGUAGCUGGUCUGAGAGGAUGAUCAGCCACACUGGAACUGAGACACGGUCCAGACUCCUACGGGAGGCAGCAGUGGGGAAUAUUGGACAAUGGGCGCAAGCCUGAUCCAGCCAUACCGCGUGGGUGAAGAAGGCCUUCGGGUUGUAAAGCCCUUUUGUUGGGAAAGAAAAGCAGCAGGUUAAUACCCCGCUGUCCUGACGGUACCCAAAGAAUAAGCACCGGCUAACUUCGUG